GCCCCGGUCGUAUAGCCUGGUCUAGUAUGGCGGACUGUCACUCCGCCGACCCGGGUUCAAAUCCCGGCCGGGGCGCCA
rnacentral:tRNA from 1 species